CUGAUGCGGUGUGCAUACCUGGUUGAGCCAAUGUGUACAGGCACGGUUGGAAAAAACUCUGGGUGUUCAGAUUUCAUUAUGCUUGUACCAAUCAAGUAAGCAGGAUGUGAACUUACAAGGGAAAAAAAAGUUUGCCUCACAUGGCUACACAGUUUGUACAUCUAGCUACACACAGGAAGAGGUGUAGAAUCGAUUGUCACGGUAAAAUCGAAUUAUGAAAACCUUCCCCAGCUGCCCCCAAGGUACAGAGCCUUACCCGUUUGUAACAUAUGUUCGACAAGAUGUCAGUACUUGAAAUAGGACUGCUUUUAUUGCACAUGUGCAAUACCAAAAUAGGACUUAAUUCCAAGCUGUUGUAAUACUACUUGUAAUUACUCUGAAUUACUACAGUAUGAAGGGUGAAUAGUGAUGCUUGUACAUCCACAUAAACUGCACACUUGACACCCCAUUUACAUCCCUUUCUGAAACUUUCUUCUUUCAGCAUACCACAUUGUAUAGACAGAAUUCUGUUCUAUUCACUGGGAAUAAGAAUCAUCCUUUCUUUUUUUUUUUUUUUUUUUUUUGCUUUUCUUUAUCUGUGAUGUAACUGGUCUGUAUCUGUGAUGUAACUUUUUGAAUAGUGUGUUAUCUGUUUAUCUUUCUGUUCUUUAACACAAUUAUUUGGUGCCUAUGUUUAUUUUUACAACUUUUUUAAAAAUAUGAGCCCAAACACCUAGGAAAGUAUAAUGCAGGAUAUGCCUCUGGAGAAUAAGGCAACUUCUUUGACAUAGAGAAUGUUCUUGUUCAGGUCAAAAUAGUUGACCUAAAAUUAAGUCCUGAUGUAUUUACAAAGUUGAUUACUAUCAGAUGAUUACUACUGGCAUUGUUAGACAAAUUGUAGAAUAUGAUAUCCAGCUCUGGGAUCAGUAUUUUGAAAACAUGUUCCUUGACAGUAUGUUCAAUAGUAUAGUGCAUCUUGUCAAGGAGAAAAAAAAGCAGAGCUAAAGCAGAAAGUGAAGUAAAAGAAGCAAUCUCUGGAUGGCAGAUGGAAAGUGAGAUGGGAAAUAAAGUUCGAAUUUUAACUGUUAGAAUGAAUAAGCAAAGGAAGUGACAAAUAGUCUUUUUUAAUAUUUUCAAAUUCAGACUGAGAGUUUACUCAAGCACAAGCUUUUAGGCUCAGUAUACUGGUAAUUUUUUGUUAUACAAGAUCAGAGUGGAAGAUAGUGGCCUUUGGCCUUCUGUUAUGCUCCAAAAAAGGCAGGCAGGUUUUGUUUCCUGUGACAGCACACGUGAAUUCAAAGAUGUAGAGAUAGUCAUCUUUCUUCCUCUCUUAAAAUAAUUGUAUCUUUUCUACCUCAGAAGGAAGGCACCAUCUGUCCAGGAAGAAAGUGAGCUAGCAUAAACCCUUUGUUCCUUACGUCACUUCCACUUGUUUGCCCCUGCUGUACUCCAUCAGCUGUCCCAAGCAGAGCAGGAGCUCUCCUUUUAUCUUCAAAAGCUUACCUCCUCAACCUACAACAACAGAUCUAAUGUUAAAGAGGGCAAAGACUUUUUUUUUUUUUUUUUUUUUUUUUUCUGAAUCAGGCUGAUCCCACUUUCGCAUUCUGCCACUGCCAUGUUUCUGUUUCCAGGCCUUCCCUCAUCUCACUUGUUCCUUGACCACACACUUCUAGGCUUACAGCUUUGAUCAGGCAUCCUGAUGAUAUUUUUUCCAUCAGUUCAGCUUCUUGACACUGAUUUGCAUCCAGAGGAUGGUCCAUUAUAAGUUCAACAUCUGUCCAUGCUAAGUAUAAUAAAAAAAAAAAACAGAUUUUUGAAUUUUGGAGUAUCUUGGAAACAGAAGUUAAAUCUGAUUUCAGCUGACAAAGCUGUUUUCUGGCUAUGCGAACUUAUCUCCGGGCAAACUAGCCAUGGAAAUACAAGGAUUUACUUGAUUCUUGGCAGAACAUGAAGCCUCAGUCUACCUCGUUAUACCUUCUGGUGGCUGCAGAUGUUUUUUUGAGCUUGUUCACUUUCUACAAGAGUUUCAAGUUGUGGACAGUCUUUCUCAAUGUCACACAAUCAAUGUCCUGAUUUUUCACCAAUCUUGUGAUAAAUAGAAGAUGGUUAAAUGCAUUCGUUCUAGGCCAGUCAGUAGGAAGAAAUAAGAUUGCAGGCACGCCUACUGAAAUCACUCAACCAAUUGAAGAAACAGAAUGAGAUUUGGAUUAUAGGGUUUCAGAUAAUACCAAGUCCCUUGUGAAAGACAUGUAUCUGUCAAGCUCAUGAUCACUAAAUGUGAUUCUGUCACAUUUAAAAAAAAUAUAUCUGUGACAAAGAUGAGAUGACUGUGAACAAGGCCAAUGACACUGAGCUACAGCAGGACGGAAUAAAGCAGAAGGUUUGAUAAUGAGAGAUUACACUUUCCAGCUAUUCUUGAAGACCAGAGGGAGGGAAUUAUUUGGUUUAUGCUGGCAGCAAUUUCCCUAAGCCAUGUGAGAUGGCAUACCUCAAGCUGUUGCAAAUGUAGGCAGAACAACCACAGGCCAUGGCUCUUGGUUGGAUCUAGAUUCCCUGGGGCAUAGAAUAUAUUGAAAAGGCUCCUAAAUAGGGGCUGAUCACUUAAUUUGACUGUUUGAAUGGAAGUCCCACAUAUUCUUCAAUCACUAACACUUGUUCACAGUUCCCUUGAAGCUUAAUAAUCACUUCUGAUUUUUUUUUUUUAAAAAAAAAAAUUAGAUUAGCUGCUCAUGGUUACAGUUUUACAACUGUAACAUAUCAAAUGUGUUAAGCAGUACUUACGCACUGUCCCCUUUUCUGGGUUCUGUAAAGCUGCAAUGAACAAAGAUUAUUAAGUUCCUGCUGUGUUUAAGUUUCCUACAGGUCAGUUUUAAUAAACUGUUUGUUUGUUCAGAAAUGUACUGUAGCCGCAUUAAUCCCCAACCCUUAAAAACUUAAAACAAGUUUUCCCCCCCAAAAAAAACAUUUGAAAAUAGCAAUAUAUUAGUAUUCAUUUGUAGAUAUUUAAAUAGCCCACAAUUUAUCCCUUUUCUGUAAGGAAAUUUUGAUUAAUUGCAAUGGUUAAAUAUUGUGUUGUACAUUUUUCUGAAGCGACAGUACUUAUAGCCUUUUGUCCUUUAUAAUGUCACUGCAAGAAAAAAACAUUCAAGAUUUUCAGUCUUAGUGAACAAGAAACACCUUCGUCUUUAUCAAAAUACAAAAAAAAAAAAAAAAUCUAUUCUUAUGUAAAUUCUAUGUCAGACAUAUAAAUGACCCUUUUUGUCAUUCCUCUACAGGAGUUGAUUGAUUCAUGCUACUACUCUAAAAUGUACAUACAAAUCACAGUGCUAAGAAAAUUUUCUUUUCAUAAUGUCAAAUAAUGUAAACUUUAUUAUAAAAUACUUCACAAUUACUUAUAUUGUAUUUCAAUUUAAAUCCAGUCAGGUGUUCUAUAAGGACAAUAUGCCUUAGACAGAAGAAAGGCACUUAUAUGGAAAAAUGUACUGACUUUAUCCAACUAAUUAUGUUUAGAUAGGUAAGAAUGUUAAUAUGUGUAUGUGUGUCUGCUUGUGUGUGUAUUGUACAAACCAUUUGUAAAUUGCCAUAAAGAUUAGUCACCUAAUUAGUUGCUACUGUAUAUUAUUUUUAAAAGAUCCAGAUAGAAGAUACAUUGGCAAACAUUCAGACCAUCUUUAUGUUAUUACAUCUAAUUGUAAACAUCAACACAUUUAAUUAUCAUGUAAGCAUGAACA